AACAAAAGUAGGAAUUGUUGUUUUCUAUAAAUGCAACAACAUGAUUUGUGGUAUUUUUUCCUGUUAUUUAAAAUAGAUUUUGACUGUUUUGUGUCAGUCACUUUUUUCAUAUAAAAUGCAUUUAUUAAGCUCUUUGUAACUAUAAGGUUCUAUGUUGAACAUAGAACCUUUUUCAAUUUUUUUUACAAUUUUUUUUCAUAAAAAGGUUUUAGGUAUGUCAUUUUUUAAAAAUGCUCAUAGAAUCCUUUUUUGUGGUGAAAUUAAUGUUUUUUUCAUGGUUUUAUGAUUUUUUUAGGGUCCUUUAUAAGAUUGCAUCAAUACUUCACUGCUAUGUAACUAUUUCAUCCAAAAACCAGCCUUAAAACACUUAGAUCGAUUUUCUCAAAACUAAGGUGAGUUGACAUACAACCCUAUAAUUCUCAGCCAGCGAUAUAUCGAGGGGUGUUCCUGGAGAACAGGAAAAGAUCUGUUUUGUGGGGAUUUACACAUCCACAUCGAUCGGUCCAUCUUGUUAGAUUGUUUAAGGCAUGAUGUAAGAGAUCUUUAAGGUUACUGGGGUGCUUUCCUGAUACGGCAAUAGCAAUAUCAUCCGCAUAUGCAAUCACUCUGUAACUCUCCGCCUCUAAAUGUCUCAACAGCUCAUUUACUACCAAGUUCCAUAAGAGGGGUGAAAGGACACCGCCUUGCGGCGUCCAUCUACUGACAGAUCUUCUUACAGAGGAGUCGCCCAGCUUUGAAUUGAUCAUUCUGCUAGUUAGCAUUUGUUUGAUCAAUUCUCCAAGCGACUCUUCCACCUUAAGAGAUGACAGUUCAGACGCGAUUGCAGAUGUAUUGACAUUGUUAAAAGCACCUUGUAUAUCGAGGAAGGCAACCAUAGUAUAUUCUUUAUGAUGGAGGGAGAAUUCGAUGGUUUUCACCAGUGUAUGAAGAGCUGCUUCCACCGAUUUUCCUUUGCAGUAAGCAUGCUGUGCCAUAUACAGAAGUCUAGUAUCAAUUCUUGUUCUUAAGUGGAUAUCAAUCAUUCGUUCAAAGGUUUUGAGAAGGAAUGAUGAUAGAAUAAUAGGUCUGAGGUCUUUCGGUUCUACAUGGGAAUAUUUUCCUGCUUUGGGUUUAAAUAUAACUCUCACUUCCCUCCAUAGCACAGGUAUAUAAACUAGUUUCAGACAGCUAUUGAAGAUCAUCUCAAGGAUGUGAAAAUAAUGUCACUAGUAUUUUGUAGUUCGGCUGGUACUAUGCCCUUAGGUCCUGCUGAUUUGUAUGGUUUGAAGGUACCGAUUGCCCAGUACAGUUUUUCCCUUGUGAUCAGGCCUUGUGAAUAAGUUACAACGUUUUCAGAUAUACUAUAUGUAACGUUACUAACAGUUUGCGUGCUUCCUGGGAAAUGAGUAUCAAGAAGCAGGUUGAGCGAUUCCAAGAGCCAUCAGCAUUUUUCAAGUAGCUAGGCAUCAUUGGAUUGGUUGAGAGGAUUUUUCUUAAUCUAGAUACUUCGGAGGUUUCUUCUAUAUUGCUACACUAAGAUCUUUUGGAUUUCCUCAAUUCUUUUUUAUAUACUUUUUAUAUAUAUUGAAGCAUUUCUGGUGCAUUUUGCUCGAUUGAAAAGCUUCCUACAGCUUUUCCUAAUUGGUUCGAGCUCUGAGUUCCACCAAUGUGGUUUCUAUUUUCCCCUCACAUAUGUGAGCGGACAACAGAUUGCCAUAGAGUCCCUUCAAGCAAGAAAACGGAGCUCAGCAAAGACACUCCGACCUCAGAACGCGAAAAACGGGGUUUCACUCACACACUUGCAACUUUUUGUGUAUGAACACAAAAGUCGAACGAGAAUCGUGGUGAAAAAGUGCGAAAAGGAAAACACCAUUUGAUAGAGACAAGUGCAACCCCAUUUUGCAAAUUUGUUUAAACGUCAAAAUUAAUAAAACAAUAAAAAAAAAGUAAGUAAGUGAGCGAGUGGAGGAAGCGAAAGGCACAUUCUCAAAAACCACCCGGCCGAGUGCACCACAUGCACACCAAUUUACAUGUGGAAAAAAACCAACCCCUUUACCCGAAGGUACACCAAUGCAUCCGGAUGUGAUGCGAAUGACUGGGAAUCCCCAGCAGAAUAACGAAUCAGCAGGAAGUAUCAACACAGGAAUCCACAUAGUUUCACCAAUAACAGCAGCAACAACAAAUUGAAGGAUUUAUUUUAUUUAAUAUUUAUUUUAGUAUUUAAUAUUGUAUUUUUGUAAUU